rnacentral:rRNA from 1 species
UCAGGAUGAACGCUAGCUACAGGCUUAACACAUGCAAGUCGAGGGCAGCGGAUUGAAGCUUGCUUCAAUUGCCGGCGACCGGCGCACGGGUGAGUAGCGCGUAUCCAACCUUCCGUACACUCAGGGAUAGCCUUUCGAAAGAAAGAUUAAUACCUGAUGGUAUGAUGAGAUUGCAUGAUAGCAUCAUUAAAGAUUUAUCGGUGUACGAUGGGGAUGCGUUCCAUUAGGUAGUAGGCGGGGUAACGGCCCACCUAGCCAACGAUGGAUAGGGGUUCUGGGAGGAAGGUCCCCCACAUUGGAACUGAGACACGGUCCAAACUCCUACGGGAGGCAGCAGUGAGGAAUAUUGGUCAAUGGACGAGAGUCUGAACCAGCCAAGUAGCGUGAAGGAUGAAGGUCCUACGGAUUGUAAACUUCUUUUAUAAGGGAAUAAACCCUCCCACGUGUGGGAGCUUGUAUGUACCUUAUGAAUAAGCAUCGGCUAACUCCGUG